rnacentral:lncRNA from 1 species
AUGUCGCGACAUCCCCAUGUUGUGAUAUCGCCACGUCUCGACAUCCCCAUGUCCGAAUGCCCCCAUGUCACAACAUCCCCAUAUCGCAAAAUCCCCGUGUCACGACAUCCCCAAAUCAUGACAUCUGCAUGUCACGACAUCCCCAUGUCAUGACAUCCCCAUU